UACGUAGGGUGCAAGCGUUAAUCGGAAUUAUUGGGCGUAAAGAGCUCGUAGGCGGUUUGUUGCGUCGGCUGUGAAAUCCCGAGGCUCAACCUCGGGUCUGCAGUCGAUACGAGCAAACUAGAGUGUUGCAGGGGAGACUGGAAUUCCUGGUGUAGCGGUGAAAUGCGCAGAUAUCAGGAGGAACACCGGUGGCGAAGGCGGCUUCCCUGGCCUGUUCUUGACGCUGGAGGCGCGGAAAGCUAGGGGAGCAAACGGG
rnacentral:rRNA from 1 species